UGGUUUGGGCACGCCGUGCGGGGGACCUUCGGGUCCGCCGGUUUCCUUUGGGCCGGUCUUCCAACCCGCAUGGCGUGCCCUCUUUG
rnacentral:antisense_RNA from 1 species